rnacentral:lncRNA from 1 species
UCAAAUUUGGGAAACUGUAAGCAGCAUGACAUGUUUAGAGUGCAGGAUAAGAAUGUCUGCAGGAGUGAAGUGUUCAUAAUCAGGAGAUUAUGCGUGUUCUAUAAUCAGGAGAUUGUGCAUGUUGUAUAAUCAGGAGACGGAAUCUCCUGCAGGCAUUCAAAGCCCACUAACCCAUUUUAAACAAGGGAAGAAAAUGCGUGACUUUCUGCUUUAGAACAACUGCCCUUGGGACAGUACAGAAGAGGAAAUGAAGAAGAGGAAGUCUAGAGGAAGUGGGAACAGUUUAUUGACUAUUACAAUAGUCCAAGCAAAAGAUAAUGAGAACAUAAAGUAGAAAAGGAAAUGUAGGAAUGGAGAAGAAAUAACAAUUUAAAAACAUUUAAGGGAUCCUUCUAACAAAACCCAGUGAUUAGUGGUACAUCUGGAAUGAGGGAUUAUUCCAAGGUUUAUUAUUUAGAUAAUAGGUGACUCAUGCAGAGACUAAACACAGGAAAAACAAUUUUCAGGAAAAAUUAGAAAAGUUGCUAUUUAUACAUGUUAAAUUUGAGUUGUCUAUAACAGAUCUGUCUACUGAUAACAAUUUGGCUAUCGAACUCAGGAGUAAAAUUUUGUCUAAAGAUAAAAGAUGAAAAUUAGAAGUGCCUAAAACUGACAACGGGUCUGGUAUCUAGAUCAUCCAAGGAACUUCCGCAAAUUCAUCAGACUAAAAAGAAGAACCCUAAAUAGAAAAAAAAAAAUGGUCAAAGGACAGGAAUAGGCAAUUAAUAGAAAAGGAAACUCCCAAAUUUCUCAAGCAUAUGAAGAGAUGCUUAAGCUCAUUAGUAAUGUGAGACAUGAAAAAUUAAAAUUGCAAUGGUAUGUUACUCUCUAUCUAGUCUACUGGAUAAAAAUUAGAAAGUUAGACAACAUGAAGUGUUGGCCUGGAUUUGAAGAUGCAGGAAUUUAGAGACUGGUUGGAGAAGCAGGCAAGAGAUGGGCAUUCUGGAGUGCAAUCUGACAGUAUUUGGUUAAAAUUGACUAAAUUAAGUAUAGACACCCCCUCUGGCCCAAUAAUUCUGCUUCUGAAUACACGUGUUGAAGAGAUUCUCACACAUAUCCACAGGGUGCCUGUGCAGCAGUAUUCACUGUGAUAGGAAGUGAGAAGCAGUCUGAGUGUUCAUUGCUGAGGGAAUCAAGGGCAAAAUAUCAUGGAUGCACUCAUGGACAAAUAAGCAGCAGUUUGAAGCAACAACCUAGAUGGAUGUACAGCCAUCAAGAGGAUCUUAAAGUGUGGUCUUUAGUGGAAAAAAAGGUUACAUUUGAACAUAUUUAUCUGCUAAAGCAAAAUAAUUCCCAUCAUUCUAUAGCAGAAGCAAUGUAUGGGAGACUGAGUAAUUACAUAUAAGCUCACAUCACUAUCUCUUCCACCACUGUCAUCCAUCAUGACUGAUCUGGGAGAUGAAACAGCACAGAUCUAAAGGACGUGGUAAGAAUCGAGAUCACCAGAGAUCAGUAGAUACUUGCAUACUUGCAGGAUUAACACUGUCUGGAUUCCAACGAUCAGCUGAGUAUGUUCAAGAUAAAGCUAUAGUACAUAUUUUAGAUUGGGGAUUGGCAACAAAUAGCUGUAGACUACCUUCUGAGGAAUAAGUGUUUUCACAUGUGUGGGUGUCAUUUCUAAUCCCAGCAUCACAGUCAGGUCCAGAUACCUGUUUCUGAUCUUUGGUCCUAUGCCUAAUCUCCUCCAAGAGUCCUUCCCUGGAUCUCCUAUCUAAGCAAGAUGCUCGAUGCCCACCAAUGAGUACUGCACCAAGUUCAUUUCCACUAGCCUGUGUUACAAUUUGUGUUUCUGUAUGUUUCCCUUACUUGUUAUUCUUUGUCUUCCGCAUUAGACUGAAAGCACUGCCACGGGGACCAUGUCUAGGACAUAGGAGGUCCUUAAUAAAUAUUUCUUGAGUGGAUAAAUGGUGAACCAUAGGGGUGGCAUAAGAGCAAAUAGAGGGUAGAUGAGCACUAAUCCAUUCACCACCCUGUUUAUGGGUGAUGGAUCUUGGAUGGCCUUUUUCAUAGUCAAAACAUACUUUUUAGAUCUGGCUUCUUGGGAUGUAUUCAAGGAUGCUAGCCAUGUUUGAGACUGUAAAUAUGUCUAGUGAAUAGGGCUUCAGGCUGUGUGUGUUUGCCUUGUUUUGCACAGAAUUCGGCACAGCCCCAAGCACAGAUGGGUGCUUCAUAAAUAUUAUGGAAGGAUGAUGACACAAAAGAUUAUUUAAUACCUCUACAUGGGGUGGAGACGGACCUCAGGCCACAAACAUACUUUCAAUGUGUUUUACUUCUGAAAUCAUUUGAACCAAAAUGUUUCAGCAACACAGAUUCAUCUGCAACCACAAAUCAGACACAUUCAGAAUGACAAAGCCCCAAAAGAAUGCCAUUUUCAAGGCUGAAACUGUAUUAUUCUGGGCUAAAUGGAAUCCUUGUUUUAGUGACACUGUAAGAGUAGAAAUUAAAGACACUGAAAAUCUUCCCUUGGGGAGCCACAAUUAUCUGUGAACAAUGAAAGUUUGUCUGAAUAAUUCAUCAGCCUCAAGGGUACAGGCCUCCCCUUAUUCUGGAAUCCCAGGAGUUUAGGCAAGUGUGUCAUUUAAUGGAUCUCAACUGUGUCCUCAGUUGUUAUUAUUCCAGGGCCUGGCAUUUAUGGGCACAUUCCUAUAAUUUUACUAAUUAAAGAAAAAAUAAGCUAUAUGGGAAACCACUGUCAAGGUCGAAAUUUUGAAGCUGCAUUGAUUUUACCUAGGAAGAAAGAAGCUUAUAAAGUGUCCAUCAUGAGAAUCCACCUGGGACCUACACAACAGAUCAAAUACCCAGAACAAAUCACCAAGUCAGAGCCCCACAGAAUUCUGAUUCCCAACCAGCAAGCAUGAAUAAUCCUUUUAAAUGGUCACUUACAUAUCAGAACAGGUCCUUUGUGAAAUUUCUAAGCAAGGCCUCUGGUUUCUGACUGAAACAGAGAUUUAUUGAGAAGGAGGGGUAAAGUGAAAUCAAGAACUACUGGGAAAUUUCCACAAGAAACAAGGACAAAUGGUUUUUGUUGUCAGAAUAAAACCAGCCUCCCCUAGCCAUGGUUUGGAAAGUUAUUUGCUAGCCCACAGGGGACAAUAUUCUCAACUGGUUUAUCAGGGACCCUUUUGAUCCAAUUAUAAUUAUUGGGCAGAUACAGUAGUACCCUAUUAUCAGAAGACCUAGUUUCAAAUCCUGAGUCAAUUUCUAAUUCACUGUGUGACCUUGUACAAGUCACUUAAGCUCUCUGAUCAUUGGUUCAACAUCUUUAAUAUGAGGAGAGUAAUACCUACCUCAAUUACCUCAUAAAAUUAUUGCAAAGAUCAAGUGAGUUGAUAUGUUACAAAUUAUUUCUAAAUUAUAAGAUUCUGUAUAAGUGGAAGGGUUAAAUAUACUCCCAUAUUAUUAAAUACCCUACAUAUCACUCAGGAUCCUAUAUGACUCUGAGUUCUCAAUUUCUAGAAAUGGUCCCAUUUUUGCUUUGUUCCCUACAAUUCUACGGAGUCUUUUUUUUUUUUAAAGGAAGGGUGUAGGCAAAGGUAAAUGGGAGAAAACAUGGAAUCACAUACCACUCUUUGGUGCUGCUAGGCAAGAAUUUUAAACUGAGUUUAGUUCACCAUCGUGGACUUAAGGUCCAUAUCACCUCAGGGAGACAAGUAGAGUGGGAGGCAUCCAAAAGGUAGGUGAUUCUUCUCCCCUCUAGUGAAGAAUACAAGGUCAAUUUACAAAAAAGCACCAGCAGCAAAUAAUUGGAAAAUUAAAUUCAUAAAACAUUCAUAAUAGC